UGCUUUUGUAUAUGCGGCUAUCCGGACGGCAUUGGUGUUUGGGAUUUUCCAACCUUUUUAUGACUGGGAGUUUUAGUUAAAAUAUAUGCUGAUCUAAACAGAAGCAAAAAAAAAGGUGUUAUGGACAGCGCUUUUAAUCCUACUCAAUACGAUGAUACCCACGCAGAUGGACUUCUACAAAAUAGUGUGCUGAAACAGCCGAGACGUAUGACAAUCGUUUCUGUAAGACGAAAGAAAAGAACAACAAAAGAUACGAGCUUCAAAGUAUUGCUAUCAAUAACAAUCAUACUUUUCCUCUUUCUGAUCGGAUUGGUAAUCAUCACUAUUUUUU